rnacentral:rRNA from 1 species
GAUGAACGCUAGCGACAGGCUUAACACAUGCAAGUCGAGGGGCAGCACAGUGUAGCAAUACACGGGUGGCGACCGGCGCACGGGUGCGUAACGCGUAUCCAACCUUCCCGUUACUCUUGGAUAGCCUUCCGAAAGGGAGAUUAAUACAAGAUGGUAUUCAAAUUCCGCAUGUUAUUUGAAUUAAAGAUUUAUCGGUAACGGAUGGGGAUGCGUGACAUUAGAUAGUAGGCGGGGUAACGGCCCACCUAGUCUACGAUGUCUAGGGGUUCUGAGAGGAAGGUCCCCCAAACUGGAACUGAGACACGGUCCAGACUCCUACGGGAGGCAGCAGUGAGGAAUAUUGGUCAAUGGUCGGAAGACUGAACCAGCCAAGUAGCGUGAAGGAUGAAGGUUCUAUGGAUUGUAAACUUCUUUUAUACGGGAAUAAAACCUCCCACGUGUGGGAGCUUGUAUGUACCGUAUGAAUAAGCAUCGGCUAACUCCGUGCCAGCAGCCGCAGUAACAC